GUUUUUAGGUGAGAAUGUAGUUGUUUAGACCUGAAAUAUGUGACUCAUUUUUAAUCAUAGCGCCUAUUUUACAAUUUGUUUAGAUGUUUUCGAGCUCCAGGCCGUCAGCGUGCUUUGGGGAUUUGCCGCUGGCUCUUAUAGUGGUUAAACAUGAGAUAUAAUUAAUUUUGGUUAUACAAAAUGGCCAAUCUUUGGUCUUUUUAAUCAUUCCUGUUCAAAUCGAAUUGGGCCAUGUUAAAUUUAAUAAUUUAUUAUUAAGGCUAUAUUUAGCUUGAGCUAGAGCACGGCUUUUGUGCGUUUGACUGAAUUGUACAAUUGUGUUUAUUUUCUAUUGCCAUUUAUAAAGGCUAUUUAUGGAAAUAAUAUGUUGUAUUUGGUAUUGAGAAAGGGUCCAUUAGUGCAUAAUAUGGAUUGAGUGAAACUUACAUUAAUACACCAUUAGAUGGCAGCAAUCUUUGCGAGUGAAUGAGUCAGUCGCAAGAGACUUUUAAAUUGAAAGAGACUUUUGUAAACAAAGGAAGUUGUUUUAGCGCUGUUAUAGAAAAUUCCCUUAACUGUAAAAAGGGCAAAUACAAAGAUCGCUUUCCUCAGUGGACAUUCAAAUGGAUUUUUAUAAUGGAUAUAAUAUUAUGAACAUCGACCUGAAGAAUGAAUGUUAUAUCAGACACAGGUGUCUGAAUGAUGUCACAUCCUGUCAGAAGAUACUGACCGCAUGACUUCAUCCAAAAUGGUCUCUUCAUAUUGGUUACUCUGAAUGACAUCAAUGAAAUUCAUCUUUCCGGACAUUCUUUCUCAUAACAAAGCAACGACUUCUACACAUCAUUUUAAUAUCAUUUUGCACCAUGUUGAUAUAUGAUGUUAUAAAAUCAUGCCAGAAUAAAACAUAUAUACAUUUAUUGCA